UACGGAGGGAGCUAGCGUUGUUCGGAAUUACUGGGCGUAAAGCGCGCGUAGGCGGCUUUGCAAGUUAGAGGUGAAAGCCCGGAGCUCAACUCCGGAACUGCCUUUAAAACUGCAUAGCUUGAAUCCGGGAGAGGUGAGUGGAAUUCCGAGUGUAGAGGUGAAAUUCGUAGAUAUUCGGAAGAACACCAGUGGCGAAGGCGGCUCACUAAACUGUAACUGACGCUGAGGCACGAAAGCGUGGGGAGCAAACAGG
rnacentral:rRNA from 1 species